CUUUACUGUAGCUUGAGAUUGGGUUCGGGCUUUUCUUGCGCAGCAUAGGUGGGAGGCUUUGAGUGUAUUCUUGCGGGAGUACAGGAGCCAUCAGUGAGAUACCACUCUGGGAAAGCUAGAAUUCUAACCUCCAACCGUUAUCCGGUUGAGGAACAGUUUCUGGUGGGCAGUUUGACUGGGGCGGUCGCCUCCUAAAAGGUAACGGAGGCGUGCAAAGGUUCCCUCAGACUGGUCGGAAAUCAGUUGUAGAGUGUAAAGGCAUAAGGGAGCUUGACUGUGAGACCUACAAGUCGAGCAGAGACGAAAGUCGGCCUUAGUGAUCCGACGGUUCCGAGUGGAAGGGCCGUCGCUCAACGGAUAAAAGUUA
rnacentral:rRNA from 1 species